AUACGGAGGAUGUGAGCGUUAUCCGGAUUUAUUGGGUUUAAAGGGUGCGUAGGCGGACGAUUAAGUCAGCUGUGAAAUGCCCGCGCUUAACGCGGGAAGUGCAGUUGAUACUGGUUGUCUGGAGUGCCGUUGCCGUGGGGGGAAUGUGUAGUGUAGCGGUGAAAUGCGUAGAGAUUGGGAGGAACACCAGUGGCGAAGGCGACUUACUGGACUGUAACUGACGCUGAGGCGCGAAAGUGUGGGGAGCAAACAGGAUUAGAUACCCUGGUAGUCCACACUGUAAACGAUGAAUGCUAGGUGUAGGGGGUAUCGACCCCUUCUGUGUCGCAGUUAACACAAUAAGCAUUCCGCCUGGGGAGUACGGCCGCAAGGUUGAAACUCAAAUGAAUUGACGGGG
rnacentral:rRNA from 1 species